rnacentral:rRNA from 1 species
GACGAACGCUGGCGGCGUGCCUAAUACAUGCAAGUAGAACGCUGAAACUUGGUGCUUGCACCGAGCGGAUGAGUUGCGAACGGGUGAGUAACGCGUAGGUAACCUGCCUGGUAGCGGGGGAUAACUACUGGAAACGAUAGCUAAUACCGCAUAAGAUUAUAUGUUGCAUGACAUUUGCUUAAAAGGUGCAAUUGCACCACUACCAAAAUGACCUGCGUUGUAUUGGCUAGGUGGUGGGGUAACGGCAUAACAAAGCGAAGAUACAUAGCCGACCCGAGAGGGGUGUCGGCCAACAUGGGAACGAGAACAGGCCCAGACUCCCAAGGGGAGCAGCCGUAGGGGAUCCUCGGCAAUGGACGGAAGUCUGAACGAACAACGGCGGGGGAGUGAAGAAAGGUUUCGGAUCGUAAAGCUUCGUUGUUAGAGAAGAAAGAGUGUGGGAGUGGAAUGUUCACAUUGUGACGGUAUCUUAUCAGAAAGCGACGGCUAACUACGUG